rnacentral:rRNA from 1 species
CGAAAGCCUGACGGAGCAAGACCGCGUGGGGGAAGAAGGCUCUUGGGUUGUAAACCCCUUUUCUCUGGGAAGAAAGUUGUGAAAGCAACCUGACGGUACCAGAGGAAUCAGCAUCGGCUAACUCCGUGCCAGCAGCCGCGGUAAGACGGAGGAUGCAAGCGUUAUCCGGAAUGAUUGGGCGUAAAGCGUCCGCAGGUGGCAGUUCAAGUCUGCUGUCAAAGACCGGGGCUUAACUUCGGAAAGGCAGUGGAAACUGAACAGCUAGAGUAUGGUAGGGGCAGAGGGAAUUCCUGGUGUAGCGGUGAAAUGCGUAGAGAUCGGGAAGAACAUCGGUGGCGAAAGCGCUCUACUGGACCUAAUCUGACACUCAGGGACGAAAGCUAGGGGAGCG